rnacentral:tRNA from 1 species
GGCUUCGUAGCUCAUUUGGCUAGACCGUCGGCUUUACUAAAGCCUUCCCCUUACUGGCGUGGAUUCGAAUCCCACCGAGGCCA